GGAAUGAACUCGAAAACGGUCUCGAAAACCGUUGAGCCUUCACGGGUUCCCAGGGUUCGAAUCCCUGUCUCUCCGCCA
rnacentral:tRNA from 1 species